rnacentral:rRNA from 1 species
CCAGACUCCUACGGGAGGCAGCAGUGGGGAAUAUUGCACAAUGGGCGCAAGCCUGAUGCAGCCAUGCCGCGUGUAUGAAGAAGGCCUUCGGGUUGUAAAGUACUUUCAGUCGGGAGGAAGGUGGUAAGGUUAAUAACCUUAUCAAUUGACGUUACCGACAGAAGAAGCACCGGCUAACUCCGUGCCAGCAGCCGCGGUAAUACGGAGGGUGCAAGCGUUAAUCGGAAUUACUGGGCGUAAAGCGCACGCAGGCGGUUGAUUGAGUCAGAUGUGAAAUCCCCGGGCUUAACCCGGGAAUUGCAUCUGAUACUGGUCAGCUAGAGUCUUGUAGAGGGGGGUAGAAUUCCAUGUGUAGCGGUGAAAUGCGUAGAGAUGUGGAGGAAUACCGGUGGCGAAGGCGGCCCCCUGGACAAAGACUGACGCUCAGGUGCGAAAGCGUGGGGAGCAAACAGGAUUAGAUACCCCAGUA